AUUGAACGCUGGCGGCAGGCCUAACACAUGCAAGUCGAGCGGAUGAAGGGAGCUUGCUCCUGGAUUCAGCGGCGGACGGGUGAGUAAUGCCUAGGAAUCUGCCUGGUAGUGGGGGAUAACGUCCUGAAACGGGCGCUAAUACCGCAUACGUCCUGAGGGAGAAAGUGGGGGAUCUUCGGACCUCACGCUAUCAGAUGAGCCUAGGUCGGAUUAGCUAGUUGGUGGGGUAAAGGCCUACCAAGGCGACGAUCCGUAACUGGUCUGAGAGGAUGAUCAGUCACACUGGAACUGAGACACGGUCCAGACUCCUAAGGGAGGCAGCAGUGGGGAAUAUUGGACAAUGGGCGAAAGCCUGAUCCAGCCAUGCCGCGUGUGUGAAGAAGGUCUUCGGAUUGUAAAGCACGUUAAGUUGGGAGGAAGGGCAGUAAGUUAAUACCUUGCUGGUUUGACGUUACCAACAGAAUAAGCACCGGCUAACUUCGUG
rnacentral:rRNA from 1 species